ensembl:lncRNA
CUUAGAUAAACAAAUUCAAUCUAGAGAAGGAGGUUUAAAAAAAACUCUUUUAGUUAAGUUGUCCACAUUUUGUACCACAAGAUGGCGGUAAUGCACUAGUUUGUUUCUGUUCCGAAGAAGAGGAGGAAUUCCUGUUAGUAAAGCCAGUAGAACCUGUUCUAAGACGUCACAUGCAGCAGUUUUUAAUCAAAUAAAUGGAGCUAAAAGUUUAGACAAUUGUCCAAAAGAAUUGCCGUUGGUGUAUUUCCUGCUUUAUCGACCCUUUUCCUCGAUUUGUAAGAUCUUUUGUCUUUUCUUGGCAGCCUCAGUGUGGAUCAUCAGCUGACCGUUGGGCUGUCUGAGGUGGAACAGCUUCCUUCCCUUCUUCACCCACUGCAGCAGGAAUGACCUGAAGGAUGUCUUGGUGAUGGAAGACCUGCACCACGUCCACCUGCAGCAUCCAGACAUGAAGUCCAUCUUAUUGAACGUCACCCAAAGCUGCAGGCUGAAGGCUGCUGUCAAUCCAGGAAGCCCAACGAAGCCCACAGGUUGGUGAACGGUGUUACAGCCACAAGCAGCAGCUUUAGCGUUAAUUCACUAAAGAUUUGACACUCGUGGGCUGUUUUUUUUUUUCAUCACGAGUGGAAAUAUUCUGUUUCAGCAACAGUCAAUUGUUCAUGUCUGACAGGUGAAACUGAAUCUUAAGGAUUCAAAAAGCCCACAGUGUCAGGUCUCAUGUAAUGAGUGUUAAUUUGGUUGAUGUAGUAUUUUUUUAAUGUAACACUUGUGACCGUAACACUGUUCAGUCUAACCUGGUAUGAUCUCCAUCCUCUCCUUUUCCUGCUGUCUGAUCCUCUUCCCACCACGUCUUCCUACCUCUGACAUUCUCUAACUCGAUGUCAUACGAAGCUGGAACAAACAGUUUAACCUUCGUGUCGUCCUGCAGGUCAAAACUGACCCGUUUUAAAGUUUGAAAAUGUGGGAAAAAAAUAUAUAUUUUCACAGUGAAACUUCUGAUGUCUGCAUUUUAAACAUUUUUGGGAAAUUUUUGAACAUUUCUUGCCAAAUUUGGGGGAUUUUUUUUUUUUUUUUUAAUAAAACUUUUAGGGGAAACUUUGAAGGAAUUGUUGGAAUUUUCUUCCUGAAGGUUUUGCAAAUUUUCCAAAAUUUGGGGAAUUUUUUAGCUGAAUUUUUGGAUUUUUUUGAGACAAGGAAACAGUAUUUUUUGGUGCCUGUAAAUGAAGACAACAUGAGGGUUAAAACAUUAGAGUUCAUAUAGUUCUUAUUUUUCAGUUAUUACAGUUAAUAUCAGUGUGCUGUUCUAAUAGCAGAUAGAGGUAGUUACUGCGGUAUAUUUACAUAUAAAUGCUCAUUUCUGUUGCCCUUUGUUAUGUUCACAGCGACGUAAACCAAGAACCUGAAACAUGAACAGACUUGAGAACAGCUCACUGUCCAGUUUAUGGUCCUGCUAUUUAAACUGUCUCACACAUGAUGAAUGGUGGCUCCUGGUCUUUACCUUCUUAUCGACUGCUUCAGUUACUUUUUCCAGCUCUGCAUGACAGCCAACCUACAUUCUGUUUCUCUGUCUUCACUGUGAAUGUAAAGGCAGCUUUUAUUCCUUCACUCAGUUUACAGGCUGCAGCCGUAUAUGAAAUAUUGUUUUAAUAUUGUGGUUUCUCAUGUUUACAAUCUCUGUAUCAUCUAUCAAUCAACUGUAACUUUUUUACUAAAAAAUAUGCUGUACUUGAAAUUUAGCCCUUUUUUCAUGAUGUAGACUUAUGUUGUGACAGUAUUUACUCUCUACUGUAAGUUGUGCACUACAUUAUUAAUUAUUUUAUACUUCUGUCCUGUUCAAAUUUGUUUAAAUUAAUGCAGUUUCUAAACUGCAAUGAAGGUAUGAAUUAUCAUAUGUAAUAAAUGUGACCAAGAGCAGCAUGUAAAGUAUUAUAAUUAAGAUAAUCUUAAUGCAAUGAGAUGAUUAUACAGUACUACACUGAAGCCGUUGCUAGAACUUAGAAUUCAUUUAUAAGGCUAUUUAAUGUUAGAUUUAAUCGACAUUGUAUACUGGAAGGAUUUAAUGUUGUUUUUGC